rnacentral:rRNA from 1 species
GACGAACGCUGGCGGCGUGCUUAACACAUGCAAGUCGAACGGAAAGGCCUGCUUUCCCUUGUGGAUUGCGGGUACUCGCGUGGCGAACGGGUGAGUAACACGUGAGUGAUCUGCCCCCAACUUGGGUAUAAGCCUGGGAAACUGGGUCUAAUUCCCGAUAGGACUGCAGGGUGGUGCCUGUGGUGGAAAACGAUUUUCUAGUGGUUGGGGAUGAGCUCGCGGCCUAUCAGCUUGUUGGUGGGGUAAUGGCCUACCAAGGCGGCGACGGGUAGCCGGCCUGGGGGGGUGGACGGCCACAUUGGGACUGAGAUACGGCCCAGACUCCUACGGGAGGCAGCAGUGGGGAAUAUUGCACAAUGGGCGGAAGCCUGAUGCAGCGACGCCGCGUGGGGGAUGACGGCCUUCGGGUUGUAAACUCCUUUCGACCGCGAGGAAGCCACCUGGUUGGAAGGGUGGUGACGGUAGUGGUAGAAGAAGCACCGGCUAACUACGUG